rnacentral:rRNA from 1 species
GACGAACGCUGGCGGCGUGCCUAAUACAUGCAAGUAGAACGCUGAAGGAGGAGCUUGCUUCUCUGGAUGAGUUGCGAACGGGUGAGUAACGCGUAGGUAACCUGCCUGGUAGCGGGGGAUAACUAUUGGAAACGAUAGCUAAUACCGCAUAAUAGUAGCUGUUGCAUGACAUUUACUUAAAAGGUUCAAUUGCAUCACUACCAGAUGGACCUGCGUUGUAUUAGCUUGUUGUUGGGGUAACGGCGCACGAAGGCGAGGAUACAUAGCGGGCCGGCGAGGGGGGUCAGCCACACUGGGAGGGAGACAGGGCCCAGUGGGAUAGGGAAGGCAGCAGUAGGGAAACGGCGGCAAGCGGUGAGGGACUGAGCAAGCAAGGCGGCAGGAGGGAGGAGGGACUUCGGGUCGGAGAGCACGGUUGUCAGGGAAGAACGAGUGUGAGAGUGUGAAGUAGACUGUGUGACGGUAACGGACAAGAAAGCAACGGCUAACUACGUG